rnacentral:rRNA from 1 species
AUUGAACGCUGGCGGCAGGCCUAACACAUGCAAGUCGAACGAGUGGCGGACGGGUGAGUAAUGUCUGGGAAACUGCCCGAUGGAGUGGGAUAACUACUGGAAACUGUAGCUAAUACCGCAUCCCAUCGGAUGUGCCCAGAUGGGCUUAGCUAGUAGGUUGGGUAACGUCUCACCUAGGCGACUAUCCCUAGCUGGUCUGAGAGGAUGACCAGCAACACUGGAACAGAGACACGGUCCAGACUCCUACGUGAGGCAGCAGUGGGGAAUAUUGAACAAUGGGCGCAAGCCUGAUGCAGCAAUGCCGCGUGUAUGAAGAAGGCCUUCGGGUUGGAAAGUACUUUCAGCGAGGAGGCGUUACUCGCAGAAGAAGCACCGGCUAGCUCCGUGCCAGCAGCCGCGGUAAUAC